CGCAGCCGCGGUAAUUCCAGCUCCAAUAGCGUAUAUUAAAGUUGUUGCAGUUAAAAAGCUCGUAGUUGAAUUUCAGGCCUGGCUGGACGGUCCGCCCUUCGGGUGAGUACUGUCUGUGGUCGGGUCCUACCUUCUGGCGAAGCGUCAUGGCCUUAACCGGCCGUGGCGGGGAACCAGGACUUUUACUGUGAAAAAAUUAGAGUGUUCAAAGCAGGCAAUCGCUUGGAUACAUUAGCAUGGAAUAAUGGAAUAGGACAACGGUUCUAUUUGUUGGUUUCUAGGACCGUUGUAAUGAUUAAUAGGGAUAGUUGGGGGCAUUAGUAUUCAAUUGUCAGAGGUGAAAUUCUUGGAUUUAUUGAAGACUAACUACUGCGAAAGCAUUUGCCAAGGAUGUUUUCAUUAAUCAAGAACGAAAGUUAGGGGAUCGAAGACGAUCAGAUACCGUCGUAGUCUUAACCAUAAACUAUGCCGACUAGGAAUCGGGCGAUGUUGACAAAAUGACGCGCUCGGCACCUCAUGG
rnacentral:rRNA from 1 species